UACGUAGGGGCGUAGCGUUGUCCGGAAUCAUUGGGCGUAAAGAGCGUGUAGGCGGUCCGGUAAGUCCGCUGUGAAAGUCGGGGGCUCAACCCUCGAAUGCCGGUGGAUACUGUCGGGCUAGAGUGCGGAAGAGGAGACUGGAAUUUACGGUGUAGCGGUGAAAUGCGUAGAUAUCGUAAGGAAGACCAGUGGCGAAGGCGGGUCUCUGGACAGUUCCUGACGGCUGAGGCACGAAGGUCAGGGGAGCAAACAGG
rnacentral:rRNA from 1 species